rnacentral:rRNA from 1 species
GGGAAUCUUGGACAAUGGGGGCAACCCUGAUCCAGCGAUGCCGCGUGAGCGAAGAAGGCCUUAGGGCUGUAAAGCUCUUUCGCCCGCGACGAUGAUGACGGUAGCGGGAGAAGAAGCCCCGGCUAACUCCGUGCCAGCAGCCGCGGUAAUACGGAGGGGGCUAGCGUUGUCCGGAAUUACUGGGCGUAAAGCGCGCGUAGGCGGUCCACCAAGUCGGGGGUGAAAGCCCGGGGCUCAACCCCGGAAUGUCCUCCGAGACUGUUGGACUGGAGUUCGGGAGAGGAGAGCGGAAUUCCAAGUGUAGAGGUGAAAUUCGUAGAUAUUGGGAAGAACACCGGUGGCGAAGGCGGCUCUCUGGCCCGCAACUGACGCUGAGGCGCGAAAGCGUGGGGAGCAAACA